rnacentral:rRNA from 1 species
CCUACGGGCGGCAGCAGUGAGGAAUAUUGGUCAAUGGACGAGAGUCUGAACCAGCCAAGUAGCGUGAAGGAUGACUGCCCUAUGGGUUGUAAACUUCUUUUAUAUGGGAAUAAAAUGUUCCACGUGUGGGAUUUUGUAUGUACCAUAUGAAUAAGGAUCGGCUAACUCCGUGCCAGCAGCCGCGGUAAUACGGAGGAUCCGAGCGUUAUCCGGAUUUAUUGGGUUUAAAGGGAGCGUAGGUGGAUGUUUAAGUCAGUUGUGAAAGUUUGCGGCUCAACCGUAAAAUUGCAGUUGAAACUGGCAGGCUUGAGUACAGUAGAGGUGGGCGGAAUUCGUGGUGUAGCGGUGAAAUGCUUAGAUAUCACGAAGAACUCCGAUUGCGAAGGCAGCUCACUGGACUGCAACUGACACUGAGGCUCGAAAGUGUGGGUAUCAAACAGGAUUAGAUACCCUGGUAGUC